rnacentral:rRNA from 1 species
UGCGGGCUGGGAGACCGGUACCAAAUCGAGACAAACUCAGAAUACCCAGAGCACACAUUGCCAGUGAGACAGUGGGGGAUAAGCUUCAUUGUCAAGAGGGAAACAGCCCAGACCACCAGCUAAGGUCCCCAAAUCAUCGCUAAGUGAUAAAGGAGGUGAGAGUGCACAGACAACUAGGAGGUUUGCCUAGAAGCAGCCACCCUUGAAAGAGUGCGUAAUAGCUCACUAGUCAAGCGCUCUCGCGCCGAAAAUGAACGGGGCUAAGCGAUGUACCGAAGCUGUGGGAUUUGUCUAUCGAUGAAUCGGUAGGGGAGCGUUCCGUCAUAGGUAGAAGCAGUAGCGGCAAGCAGCUGUGGACGAAACGGAAGUGAGAAUGUCGGCUUGAGUAGCGCAAAUGUAUGUGAGAAUCAUACACCCCGAAACCCUAAGGGUUCCAGAGCCAGGUUCGUCCCCUCUGGGUUAGUCGGGUCCUAAGGCGAGGUCGAAAGGCGUAGUCGAUGGACACAGGGUGAAUAAUCCCUGACUAUGAUAUGGGAGCAUUGCUUGGGACGCAUGAAAGAUAGCCAUACCCUGAUUGGUUUGGGAGGAGUUUACGAACUCCGUGUGGUGAAUGAUAGUGCCAAGAAAAGCUAGUAAUGUGAUGAACAUAUUGUACCCGUACCCGAAACCGACACAGGUAGGGAGGUUGAGUAUACCAAGGGGCGCGAGAUAACUCUCUC